rnacentral:ncRNA from 1 species
GUGACAAACCGGAGGAAGGUGGGGAUGACGUCAAAUCAUCAUGCCCCUUAUGACCUGGGCUACACACGUGCUACAAUGGAUAGAACAAAGGGCAGCGAAGCCGCGAGGUGAAGCCAAUCCCAUAAAUCUAUUCUCAGUUCGGAUUGCAGGCUGCAACUCGCCUGCAUGAAGCCGGAAUCGCUAGUAAUCGCGGAUCAGCAUGCCGCGGUGAAUACGUUCCCGGGCCUUGUACACACCGCCCGUCACACCACGAGAGUUUGUAACACCCGAAGUCGGUGGGGUAACCUUUUGGAGCCAGCCGCCUAAGGUGGGACAGAUGAUUGGGGUGAAGUCGUAACAAGGUAGCCGUAUCGGAAGGUGCGGCUGGAUCACCUCCUUU